GUGACGUUGGCAGAAGGAACGUGACAUGGUUGUAUUGUUGUUUGCGUUCGUUGACUACUGCGCACCUUGCGACGCCACACCAUUGACGUUGCUGAAGCAGUAGCUGCGUCGUAAUUUUCGAACUCGGGGGCCAUCAAAGCACAUGCGCACAAAGUAGCUAUAGCAGUUCAUAAUUCAGCAGAAAUCUGCGUCAGUGCACUUGCAUCGCAAAAGGAGCUGUUCCAACUUUCAGCUGUUCAAGCAGAGACCUCUUCAAACUGGUGGACACAUAAUACAAUUCUUUCUCAUUUGAAUUGUCAAAGUUGACUCCCAGUAAUCUAAUGUCUUUGCUGUUCAACAACCGAUAACCACUUCAACUGCUGUGAGUGUGAAAUCGGUGAAUGAAGUCAAGGAGGGACUGGGAGGUGUGACAGCCGAUGGGGAUCAACAGCAAUGAGGAGUGGAGAACGUGAAGGAUGAGAAGUCGGCUGUUGUGGAGGACAAAGCAGCAGCAUUGGUUGCUGUCAGACCGUCUGUUCGUGCUUCUACCAACUUGGUUCAAGCACAGGACACAGAGACGCCAAAUUUCCUUGGAGUUGUAAAGGAAGGGAUGACAUCUGACAUGUGCUUUAGGAGCAUCUUUUUCUGCGUGCAGUUUGCCAUGGGAAUGGUCUGCUAACCACAUAAAUCAGGAAUUGAGUAUAGCAAUUGAGUUUUAGAGCAGCAGUUGAAAAAAUUCUUGGACAUGUGAAGAAGAUUGCAUAUAUUUGGAAGGUUGGAUCAAUGAAUGGCAUGUCAAAGUAGUGUCCAGCAAAAUCAUGCCACUAUUCAAGCUGCUAGUGCAACAGCUGUGACAUUUGUUGACCAGUUUACGAUGCUGUAGAAUUCAAUUCUAACCAGUUAUAGUCAUUACCGGUUGGAUAUAAUAAUAUAAAUACACAGACACAGACACACACAUACACACACACACACACACACACACACACACACACACACACACACACACACACACACACACACACACACACACACACACACACACCACAUGUAUAAUAAGCUAGUGUAUACUGAGCACUGAUAACAAUCUGUGGCAUAUCAGUACUGAGUAGCAAGUCAAAUAACAACCAGUUUGUAGUUGUGUGUGUACAAUGUUGCAUUUAGUAACUCUUGCAUACUGCUUCAAGUGUGUUUUAGGGAAUUACGGUUAAUUAGUAAAAUUCACGUACAUAUACCUGGGAGGCAAUGGAUUUGGCUUCAUGUAUUGCUUGGAACUCUCUAAUUCCUUCAAGAUUGAAUACGCCAAAUAGGAAUGCACCGGCUUGAGUGUUGUCUCCAGCCUGCUCAUUGAUUCUUCCAGCCAGAUUUCUGCAGGCAGACUCACUGGGCAUCAUUGGGCUACUGUGUGGGUCGCUAAAGUGAGUGGCUUUGGGCACAGUGAUGAGCUGGCCCUUCUCUGGACUCACUUUGGGAAAGGUCAGUCUCGUACAAUCUUGCCUGUUUAGGUGUCUAGCGGACCUAGAUGCAUUGAAAAAGAAGUAGGCACGUGAUGGAGUGCAGAUUGAGUCUCAUGUACGUGUGCAUAAGUACGGCUUCACUGUCUAACCUGCCCUUGAAUGUCGUAAGAAAAGAGCUCGAAAACUUGGCAAACAUGUCGCGAAAUCGAAAAGAGCGCGAAAGAAACA